rnacentral:rRNA from 1 species
CCUACGGGAGGCAGCAGUGGGGAAUUUUGGACAAUGGGCGCAAGCCUGAUCCAGCCAUGCCGCGUGAGUGAAGAAGGCCUUCGGGUUGUAAAGCUCUUUCGCGAGGGAAGAAAUCCCAUUCGCUAAUACCGGAUGGGGAUGACGGUACCUUGAGAAGAAGCACCGGCUAACUACGUGCCAGCAGCCGCGGUAAUACGUAGGGUGCGAGCGUUAAUCGGAAUUACUGGGCGUAAAGCGUGCGCAGGCGGUCUCAAAAGUCUGAUGUGAAAUCCCCGGGCUCAACCUGGGAACUGCGUUGGAAACUUUGAGGCUAGAGUGCGGCAGAGGGAGGUGAAAUUCCACGUGUAGCAGUGAAAUGCGUAGAGAUGUGGAGGACCACCGAUGGCGAAGGCGGCCUCCUGGGC